AAAGGUUAUCUUUAUCAGGUCCAGACAGGACAGACGUUAAGUAACUUUUUCAAGUUCCAAUGUCAUGUACAGGAUGCAUUUGCUUUGAAAAUUCCUGGUAUUCUAUUUCCGAGGUCCACUUAGAAUGGACGACAGCGAAGGAAAAUUGUGAAGUCUUGGGAGGUAAUCUGGCGAAACUGGAAACAUCAGAGGAGAAUGAGUUCAUUAAAAAUGAAGUGAGAACCAGAAAUACCGGAGUAACGGGAUACUGGAUCAAUGGUUAUAAUUACCACAAUGAUAAAGACAUGGAAUGGGUAGGUCAACCCAACCAAUCAAUGUCAUUUAGUGACAUUCAACCUGGAGAACCUGAUGCACCGAUGGAUCAGUUAUGCAUGGUGAUGUGGAAAGACUAUGAUUUUCGAUGGGGUGAUUGCCUUUGUCACAUUCCACUUUCAUAUAUAUGUGAAUUCAUGCACCGUUAAACUAGAUUAAUGCCAGUAUUUAUUCUCAAUUAGUUACUGUACAUAA